AGUGCCCUGUGUGUGGAGGUCAGGAUUCUGCAGUGUUCUUGUUUGCUGGUAUUCUGAUGCAGUGCCCUGUGUGUGGAGGUCAGGAUUCUGUGGUUCUUGUUUGCUGGUAUUCUGAUGCAGUGCCCUGUGUGUGUGGAGGUCAGGAUUCUGCAGUGUUCUUGUUUGAUGGUAUUCUGAUGCAGUGCCCUGUGUGUGGAGGUCAGGAUUCUGCAGUGUUCUUGUUUGCUGGUAUUCUGAUGCAGUGCCCUGUGUGUGGAGGUCAGGAUUCUGCAGUGUUCUUGUUUGCUGGUAUUCUGAUGCAGUGCCCU